rnacentral:rRNA from 1 species
CCUACGGGCGGCAGCAGUGAGGAAUAUUGGUCAAUGGCCGGGAGGCUGAACCAGCCAAGUCGCGUGAGGGAAGACGGCCCUACGGGUUGUAAACCUCUUUUGUCAGGGAGCAAGGUGCAGGUCGGGACCUGCUGUGAGAGUACCUGAAGAAAAAGCAUCGGCUAACUCCGUGCCAGCAGCCGCGGUAAUACGGAGGAUGCGAGCGUUAUCCGGAUUUAUUGGGUUUAAAGGGUGCGCAGGCGGAGGCACAAGUCAGCGGUAAAAUCGCGGGGCUCAACCCCGCUCCGCCGUUGAAACUGUGUGCCUUGAGUGGGCGAAGGGUAGGCGGAAUGCGUGGUGUAGCGGUGAAAUGCAUAGAUAUCACGCAGAACUCCGAUCGCGAAGGCAGCCUACCGGCGCGCAACUGACGCUCAUGCACGAAAGCGUGGGUAUCGAACAGGAUUAGAUACCCCAGUAGUC